rnacentral:sRNA from 1 species
GUUGUAGAUGAGCAUGAGAGUGUGGAGCAGAGUCGGCGAGCGCAAGCUGAGCCCAUCAACCUGGACAGCUGUCUCCGUUCUUUCACCAGUGACGAAGAGCUAGGGGAAAAUGAGAUGUACUACUGUUCCAAGUGUAAGACCCACUGCUUAGCAACAAAGAAGCUGGAUCUCUGGAGUCUUCCACCCUUUCUGAUUAUUCACCUUAAGCGAUUUCAAUUUGUAAAUGAUCAGUGGAUAAAAUCACAGAAAAUUGUCAAAUUUCCUCGGGAAAGUUUUGAUCCGAG